UCCCAUGCCUCCAAGCCAAUAAAAAUAAUUUAUUUACAAAAACAGUAUAUAUGCCAAAUUGAUGAUUUUCCGUAAAAAUACAACAAGAUGCCAGACACUACGAGCACAGACACAACAGAUACACACACACACAAAACACAUAUUUAUAUGGACGAAGAAAAAGGAGAAGACGUGCAGUUUAUUUGUUGUUUUGAAUGUUAAAAAAAGAAUAUUCAAAAGUCGCCCCAUCCCCCGAGAUACCCAAAGUCUGCAGGCGGACCAAACUCCUUCUAUGGCAUAAAGGACUCCUCUCCUCAGACAGACAGACAGACACUUCAGAUCAGAUAUAAUAUUUAUAUAUAGAAAAAUCAAAAACAAAAGAACUACUUAAGCUCUUCUUUAAUGAUGAUGUAUUUUUUUUUUUAGUUUUUGUAUUUAUAGCUCAUAUAUAUAUAUAUAUUUUUUGGUAUUAUGUAGAAUAUAUGUAGUUCUUUUUUUUUAUUUUUAAAUUUAGUACUAAGUUUUACAAAAAAAGCAAAAAAAAACAUUAACUACAAUUCCGCCAAAUUUACACUAAACGAGAAUACUGCUGAAACUAUAGAAAAUUUAACAUGAACAACUAUACAAAAGUUAAAAAUUAAGAAACAAAAACAAAAGAACUCUCACAAACACAAAACAAAGAAAACUUUAAAAAGACUUACUUACCAAUGUACAACUAUAUAAUUUUUUCGAUUGAUUACUUUUUCGUGAUUAAACAAAAGAUUUUUCUCUUAUUAAUCCUCCCCCCCAGUCUAAAAUUGAAACUAGCAACUCGAAAGUAAACCUUUUCUUACAUAAAAAUAUUUAUAUUUUGAUAAUUAUUUUUAUAAGGAAAAUAAGAAGAAGAAGAAGAAAAGUAGUAACAAAAACCACUCGAAUCAGGCUUGAAUACAUAUGUCGACAUAUAAAUAAAUUAUAAGAUAAGUGUUAAUUUAAGAGGACUAUCCGCUUCCAUCCCCUGCCCCCUAUAAGAUGGGUAUCUAUCAUCAUUUUUCAUAUUCAUGCAUACAUAUAUACAAAAACAAAAAAAAAACAAAAACAAACCAAAACCUAUGUUGUAGACCGACCUCAUACAUCAUGACAUAACAACAACAAGUUUUAAGAAAAAAAA
rnacentral:sRNA from 1 species